AUUACUAGUAUCUUCCUGAACUAAAAUGGCGUCAAACAUUCCGUUCUGUUACUUCGCGUUUUCGCAACGGUAGAAAUGCCUCUACUACAUGUGCCGACAAUUGCCGAAUGAAAGGACAACACAGCAACGAACCAGGAAACCGACGGGAGGAAGGGCGCGGAUUUGGGAUACUUUGAGACGAUUUGAAGACAGUUUGUCGCUAGGCUGUAGGAGAUCUCAGAAAAGAAAGAAAGAAAAGCGACUGCAGUCACACAGAAAGAGGGCCAGGCAAACAGGCAGGCCGGACACCCAGGCUCAGAUCUAAAGGCGAGGGUGCUGUGUUAAAGCGCCCGGCAAGCUCCGAAGACCCAGGCCGGCCC